CGUGCCCGCGGCUUCCCGGAACAAUAAGCGCCGGACCCCGAGCGGCGAAGGCGCCGCGACCCCUCCCUCGGGCCCACCGAGGCGGCGGGGGCUGAGGCGUGACCCGGCCCAGCCCCGGGCAGUUGGUUGGCAACGUCGGGGGAACGGCCCGAGCCCGCCGGGACUCGACCCUUCCUGCCCCGCCGCCUGGGAAGACCUGCUCGUCCGGAGCAGCGGAGUCCACCGCGGCGGCGUCAAGGGCCCGCCUCCCGGGCCUCCGAGCUCUGAGGUACCGGGUUGCCGCGCCUCCCGAGCCUCUCGCCCUUCUCUUUAUUUCUCCUCCUCGCUUUCGCUCCCCCUUGCCUCUUCAUCUCCCCCACCUCAGCAGGUAUGGAAACGGAGCCAGGCCCGGGAUUCGCCCGGAGACCGAGCUCCCUGGACGCGCGCUCCUCCUCCCCGCCUCCUUCUGGGUCUUCUGCCCCCACCCCAACUCUGCAAGGCCGCAGCGCCCGUCUUCCGCGGCGCUCUCAAAGGCCUCGGAACAGACGUCCUCGUCCAAGGCUGUUGAUCACGUUCCUGCGAAAAUGACGAGAAACUCUGAAGUGUUUAUGUUGGAUUUUUCUGUCAAGACUAGAUUGUUGAGCAGCUGAUAAGCUACUGACAUCCAGGGGGAAAAGGAAACAUGGGAGCACCAAGGAGGCUCCAGAGAAUCACUAAAGCUCUAUUUCUUAAACUAGGUGAUCUGCUCGAAUGUAGAACCCCUGCUGCUUCUGGGAAGGUCUGGGGAUGGAAAAAAUCUGACAUGAACGCUGUCAACAGGAAGCAACCGUGCAUACCUUCUGGACGGCGGAGAUGGCGGCAAAGUCAUUCUUGUCUAUAAGGGUAUACUUCCUGCGCAAAGUGGACUCCACUUCCUGCUCCUGUUGGCUUGAGAGAGAGGAGAGAACACCUUGCACCUUGGAGCUAGGCUGAACCUUCCAGAUCAAGAACCAAGUAUGAGAACUAGAAGUCAUUUGGGUGUGGCCCCUUGUGAUGGAGCCACACCCUCACCGCGAACCAGACAAAACAAACCCAUUCCACACCCCGAUUCCUCAGACCACAUACCCCCUGUUCACCCCUCAAAUUGGAAGUGGCCACCCUUGUAUGCCAGGGACUUCUGCUCCAAGGAAACUAACAAGGACUGUAAGCCUGCCUCAGGACCAUGGUUUCCCACCUAGGUUCUAUCUUUAAAAGGCCCCAGGGAAUCAUGUGACCCACACCUGUGCUAUCACCCAGCACAAGCUGUUCACUGUACAGGUGUGGCCAUCCAAGUACACGAGGAUUUUGCUGAAGUCACGCAGCAAGGAGACAUCGGAGCUGGGAUGU